rnacentral:rRNA from 1 species
CCUACGGGAGGCUGCAGUGGGGAAUAUUGCACAAUGGGGGAAACCCUGAUGCAGUGACGCCGCGUGAGUGAAGAAGGAAUUCGGUAUGUAAAGCUCUAUCAGCAGGGAAGAAAAUGACGGUUACUGAGUAAGAAGCCCCGGCUAACUACGGGCCAGCAGCCGCGGUAAUACGUAGGGGGCAAGCGUUAUCCGGAUUUACUGGGUGUAAAGGGAGCGUAGACGGCAGUGCAAGUCUGGAGUGAAAGUCCGGGGCUCAACCCCCGGACUGCUCUGGAAACUGUACGGCUUGAGUGCAGGAGAGGUAAGUGGAAUUCCUAGUGUAGCGGUGAAAUGCGUAGAUAUUAGGAGGAACACCAGUGGCGAAGGCGGCUUACUGGACUGUAACUGGCGUUGAGGCUCGAAAGCGUGGGGAGCAAACAGGAUUAGAUACCCGAGUAGUC